UACAGAGGGGGCAAGCGUUGUUCGGAAUUACUGGGCGUAAAGGGCGCGUAGGCGGCCUUCUAAGUCGAACGUGAAAUCCCCGGGCUCAACCCGGGAACUGCGUCCGAUACUGGUUGGCUUGAAUCCGGGAGAGGGAUGCGGAAUUCCAGGUGUAGCGGUGAAAUGCGUAGAUAUCUGGAGGAACACCGGUGGCGAAGGCGGCAUCCUGGACCGGCAUUGACGCUGAGGCGCGAAAGCCAGGGGGAGCAAACGGG
rnacentral:rRNA from 1 species